AGCGUUCUUUGGGCGGUGAAGUCUGACCGGUAGGUCUGGUGGAGCGCUUUGAUGUGAGAUUGCCGGUAUGAGUAGCGUAAGUAGGGUGAGAAUCCCUUCCACCGUUUAUCUAAGGUUUCCUGAGGAAGGCUCGUCCGCUCAGGGUUAGUCGGGACCUUUGCCGAGGCCGUUUGGCGUAGGCGUUGGACAACUGGUUGUGUUUCCUGUACCAGUGCUAUUUGUUUAACCGAUGGGGUGACACAGAAGGUUAGGGA
rnacentral:rRNA from 1 species